UAAAUGAAUAAUCCCUAAAAGAAUAGAUCAGAUAUUUAGAUCCUAAUCAAGUAAGAAUAGAGAAAACUAAUUAGACCUCAGGAAUUCACAUACAAACAGGAAAUUUGUAGACAUUAUCGAAAAAAUUAUCAUAAGCUAAGCAAAUGUGAAUGUACUUUCAGAUAUAUGACCUAUAAUGCGAAUAUACUUUCAGAACAUUGGAGAAAGAGGGAAUCGUAAUGACAACACCACCCAUGAAAUUGGAAAAUCUGGAGAGGAUUAGAAAAAAUUUUUGGGCAACAUUGAUAUAAAAGCAUACCUGACACACAGCUGAGAAGAUGGAGACUCUCUAAUAUAUUUUCAAAAUCAACUCUUACUCUCUCUGAAAUUCUGAAUCGCUCUCUCUCUUGCUUCCUAUUUUCACAAGCUUCAGGGUUUUCAUGGUAGCUUAUGCUGAGGUUGAUAGUUGGAUUGUUGAAAAGAUUAGUUUACUGCCAAACCCAAAUCUGCAAGAAAGCUGUUGCAGGGAACAAGAUGUGACACUAAUCAGGUUCAACUCUCUGGCUGCAACAAAUGGCUCAGAAGACAAUGGAAUAGAACCUUACUGUUUGUCAGAUGUUGGAUUCGUUGUUGUGGCUGCUAAGCUUGAAAAGCUGAGCUUAAUGUGGUGCUCUACUAAAUGCGGGGCUGAGGUCUAUAGCUAAAAAAUAUACGUGAUUGAAGUCUUUAGAUUUACAGGUAAUCCUGUUCUCAGUAUUUCUUUGAUUAAUUAAAACCCUAAUCCAUUUUCUACUUUCUUAUUUUUGCUGCUGAAUCAAAACUUGUGAAAUCAGUUUCAUCGUUUGUGUUUAGUCUCAUUAAUUCUUUAGGAUUUACAGUGUUCAGGUUAGUAUUGUUCUCUGCUAUUUAUUUUUUGUUUGUUCGUCAUUUAUGUUGCUUUUUGCUCAACAGUUUUCUUCUGCUUGUGUUUUCUCCUCCGUUUCUUCCCCAUUACCUGAUUUUCUUGACAGAAAAUGACUUUUGAUCUGGUCUUCUUGCUUUUCGUUUUUCGUUUUUCAUCAGAAGUUGUAUUCAACUACUGUGUAUAAUUGAAUGUUCUCACUUGGAUCUCAAGGUUGUUCCAUUCCAGAUUCUUUCCGUAUGCAAAAUUUUACAAGAAAUUUUUUAAGUAAUUGCUAGCUUCAAUUGGACAUUUUUUAACGAGAAUUUCAAUCUUACAGUGGGGGUUUAACUGCUGCUACGUACGACAUAGUAGUAGGAUUUUGCGUUUCAUUACUACAGUUAUAAUGAUACUACUAUUUAAAUAUCAAAAAUCGAAUCGUUAUGGAGUUAAAAUUUCCUAUUAAUUUCAGUGUAUAUGAUCGUGCUGUGAUUAAAUUUAGAGGAUCUACUGCAAAUAUCAAUUUCAAUGUCAGUUAUUAUCACAAUGAUCUAAAGCAGGAAGAGUUUGUGCACCUACUUCAUGUCAGAGCACUUGUUUCUCUUGAGGAGGUUCGAAAUACAGGGUAGUUACGCUCCACCAGUGUGGACGAUGGGAGGCUCGGAUGGGCAGUUUCGCGGAAAGAAGGAUUAUGUCUAGGCUGCUAUAAAAUGCUACGGAGGAGAGGCAGUCACCAAUUUUGAGCUAAGCACAUAUGAAGGGGAAGUAAGUACUGAUGCUGAUAAUGGAGGUAGUGCGAGCCAUAAUCCAGAUCGGAACUUGGCCCUCUCUAUUUAGCUGAUGACCAGCAUGGCAACACAUGCCAAAUGGAAAACUGUGAAUUUCAGUAUGCCUCAUAUAGUUUGCCUGAAUAUAGAGGAACCAUGGUAUUUUUUUUUUGCCAAACGCUACUAAGAGAACGCUACAAACGAGGCAAACGAAACGGAAAAUGCACCAGGAGCUUGUGAGAACAAUAAGAAAGAAGAGAAAUACUGGUGAUAUGCUGAUGUUUUCAAUUUGUUAUAGCCUCAAUUUAGCACGGAUUUGAGGAUCAAAAAUUAAGAUCACCCCCAAAUAAGGACAAUCCUGCAAAUUGCCCAUUUAAGAGUUGGGGAACAUAUUAAUGGGGCUGUGAUGAUGAUUUGCUUGCUUCUUUCUGAGAAGAUCCGACCUGUAUCUUGGCGGGGCGACCCGAUACAAGGUAGAAAUGAGACACGACAAGGUAGCUGCUUUUUUAAGAGUUCUGAACCUAAAUGAGCUGAUUUAUUGGAAGAAAAGCUGUGCAUUUUAGAAAAGCAGAGCAUUCAAUGCACGUGGAGCUAGCAUUACUCAAAGAAGAAGCGAAGCCUUUCUACCCAUGAAAAGGAGCGUGAAAAACUCCGAACUACGAUCGAGGAUAUGGAGAAGGCAAACUUGGAAGAGAAGACCUGGACUAUGCAAGGAGAAGUAAGAUAUUUCUUUCAUAUAAGAUAUUUCUUUCAUAGUUCCCUUAUUUGUUUUAAAUAUUUUCUUCGAAGAAACACCCAUUCAUGAAUACACAAGCCCAGACUCAAGAUGAAAACUGAAACUCGGUUAUCCUAUAGUCUCGUGCUAAUUUCACAAUAUUGUUUUCUCUCAUUGUUGAUGCUACAUUACGAUCUUCAUAAGGCUUUUCCUUUCUAAUUGUUCCCUCUUCCUUUAUAAUUCCCUAUGACUCUUUCAUCAACCUGUACUGGCUAUAUGUACCACAUAUCCCGUGUUCUGUCUGUAUGUUUGAACAAUCUCAAUUGGCUGGUAACUGGUGCAAGAAGGCCAAAAAUAGUGCACUAGAAGUUGAUCUGGAUUUCGAGCACAAUGUGAGAGCUGCCUCUGUAAUCACUGAAGAGGUUGCUGCAACACUUGAAGAUCUAAUUCAGAAACAUAUCAUUGAGGAAGAGUUUGUGCACAUACAAUGUCAAACACUUGUUUCUCUAGACAAGGUUCGAAAUACAGAGUAGUCACACCCUGCGAUGGGGUAAUUUCUCGGGAAAAAGUGAGUUAUCGCUUGUCCCACCAUUGGUUAGGCAUGUCAUAUUAUCAGUGAUAUAGCUGUUUAAAAGCUUUCUUGGUAUAUUAUCGUGUCAUUAUAGAUAUGCCUGCAGGUAUAUCUAUCUUGGAGUGUUUGACAGUGAGAUAGAAGGUGCAAGGUCCAAUGAUGAAACUUUACUUCCCCUCCUUUUUACGCUGUGUCUCAUACACCUUCAACAUUGACUGGACUUGAUCUUUAGCUCUUGCUCAGGGCGUUUGACAAGGCUGCUAUAAAAUGCAACAGAAGGGAGGCAUUCACGAAUUUUGAGCUAAGCACAUAUGAAGGGAAAUUAAGUACUGAUGCUGAUAAUGGAGGUAGUAUGUUUAGGCUUUUCCGCAAAUUAGGACUCCAUUAGUCUUGCAUUGAUCGUAUCGGAUGGUAUAUUUUCCUAUCCACAUGCAGGUGCAACCCAAUAGCCAUAAUCUAGGUUUGAAUUUGGGAAUAGCCCCCUUUGUAUUAGCUGAUGACUAGCAUGGUAACACAGGACAAAUAGGAAACUCUGAAUUCCAGUGUGAUUCAUAUGGUUUGCCUGAAUAUAGAAAUUAUGAGUCAAUGAUCUUCAUUCAGAUUUUUUUAAGUCAUCUACUUAUGAACUCUUAAAAUGUUUGGUCUUCUCAGUAAAUCGGGUAUAUACUUCCAUACAGACCUCAGAACUGCUGACGUUCGGCAAAAGGUGUGACCUCUGAUGACGAGAUCUGUUUAUUAGCUAUGAUUAGGUGAUGAGUUCAGGUGACAGCAAUUUCAUAAGCUUAUCAUACAAUAUUAGCUAAAGGUGAUAGCAAUAUCCUAACUUUGAGUUGUUUCUUGAUCUUAUAUGGUACAAAGCUCUCAACAUUAUCUUUAAAUAGUCUUUAUUUUUCAUACCUAAGUUUUUCUUUUUUUGCGUCUUUUCCUGUUCUUUUGGUUCUGUUUUGUCAUUAUGUUGUCAAGAUCUUGUUUCAAUCCGCUGAAUCUUGAUGACGGUUUUGGUGUUGAUUGGACUACUCUAAUUAUAAUGAAAGUAGGAUGAUCAUUGUAGCAAAUUAGUGUCAAGUGAAGGCUUAGGGAUAAGGAGGAAAAAAGUGGUGUUUUGAAUGGGACAAAUAUGCUUUAGAUACACUAAUUUUGCAGCUGAAAGACUAGAUUUGGAGAUUGUUUAUGUGGGGCGUUUGAAGGCAUCAGAUUUAGAAUUAAAUAAACAAGAGGAAGUAGCAAAAUUCUUAUGAAAGAAAUUUAGGUCUUUGUGGGUGGCUUAUGUAUCAGCACAAGAUCCUUGCUAAUUAGGAUUGUGACGUGAUCAAUCCAGGUGAAAACUAUGUUUGGAUUCAAAAUUAUCAUCUCAUGAUUUUUGCCUACUUUAAGCAGAAUACAAUAGAAUAAAAGUUGAUUUUUUUUCCUUUAUAGUCCUUUGUCAUCAUCUGAAUAUACUUGUAAUAUAAAGCAAAAUCUCACGAAUGAUGUGAAGUUGUUUUCUUACUUAGUUUUUUACUAAAGUGCUAGCUAGCCUUUGAAGGGCUUUCAAGUAACAAGCUGCCAUUCCUCACUCAAAUAUGUAAUUUGCUUUCUCCCGGAUUGUUUAGAAAGUUAAAGUUCAAGCCUACAAUACAGAGGCAAUAACUCCUGCAGGACACAAGAUAUAGCACCCGGAAGUACAAAGUAAAUCUAAGAAUUGUACAAGUAUAUUUUUGUCAUACGCUGCUAAGAAGAACGCUGCAAAGGAGGCAAAAUGUGGGACGGAAAACAUACCACCGUUUUCAAAAUGUAAACAACAUAGCCUGUAAAUAGUUUUUCAUAUGUGAUAUGAAUUAUGCAGCCAUGGAUGUAAACAAUAUUAACACGUGCCUAGUGCCAACUAUAUAACUUCGUGAAUCAAUACUCUUAUCCCAGAGUUGUGUAAAUAA